UUCAGUCGACGGGCCCGGGAUCCGAUUAGACUUUGAUCCUGGCUCAGAACGAACGCUGGCGGCGUGCCUAACACAUGCAAGUCGAACGUGAAAGGGGAGUAUGCCUGAGCCCAGCGGUGGGCGACCCACACACUGUUUUGAUUAUUGUUCUCAUUGUGAUCCGGUGGGGGAUUGAAACGGUGCUUC
rnacentral:rRNA from 1 species